UGGGGGAUAUUGCGCAAUGGAGGCAACUCUGACGCAGCAACGCCGCGUGAAGGAUGAAGGUUCUUGGAUCGUAAACUUCUUUUGCAGGGGAAGAAUAAAAUGACGGUACCCUGCGAAUAAGCCACGGCUAACUACGUGCCAGCAGCCGCGGUAAUACGUAGGUGGCAAGCGUUGUCCGGAUUUACUGGGUGUAAAGGGCGUGUAGGCGGGGAAACAGGUCAGAUGUGAAAUCCCGAGGCUUAACCUCGGAACUGCAUUUGAAACCUUUUCUCUUGAGUGAUGGAGAGGCAGGCGGAAUUCCUAGUGUAGCGGUGAAAUGCGUAGAUAUUAGGAGGAACACCAGUGGCGAAGGCGGCCUGCUGGACAUUAACUGACGCUGAGGCGCGAAAGCGUGGGGAGCAAACA
rnacentral:rRNA from 1 species